rnacentral:misc_RNA from 1 species
UUUCCGUAGGCGAACCUGCGGAAGGAUCAUUAUUGUAUAACCGAGGUGCAAGGGCUGUCGCUGACCCGAAAGGUCGUGCACGCCCGAGUGCCCUCACACACAUCCAUCUCACCCCUAUGUGCACCACCGCGUGGGUCCCCCUUUGGCUUGUUCGGAGGGGGGCUUACGUUUUCACACAAACUUUGUAUGCAGUGUAGAAUGUAUUUUUUGUUUUUGCGAUCACGCAAUCAAUACAACUUUCAACAACGGAUCUCUUGGCUCUC